UCCCCGAGCUCUGCUCGUCCCUGUAUACCUCUGUAGCUCGUCCGCACCUCUCUCGUCGCCUUCUCGUGCCACCCCGUGCCCGCUGAGCCUCGCCAGAGCUUCGGCCGGACGCGAGCAGCGGCACCCGAGACCGUGCCUUGGCCCAGCCUAUAUAAGGAAGCCCCGACCCCCUCCGAGCUCGUCACCAGCCUCGCCUCGCUCCACUACACCACCCCAACCUCUUCCCCGAGCACCAGAGCCCCUCCUCGCUGCUCUAGGCCACCAUGGCCGCCGCGGUGCUCCGGCUAAAUUCGCCCGAAGCCGAGCCCUCCUCCACCUAUAGCCACCACCAUCACCUUCCCCACACUCCGGCUACCCUCUCCCUCAUCUCAGUUUCUCGCCGGAGCCCCUCUGGACGCGCCUCCCCGGAGUUGGCCGCCGCCCCGUCUCGGCCUCCUCCCAGCGCCGUCGACUCGCUCCUCUUCCGGCGCCGCAGCUGCUCCAGGUGGAGCAGCGCUCCACCCCGCGCCCGCCGGUGCCUUCACUCCGGUCGGGGUGGACGGAGUUGGCCGGGCCGGCGCUGGCCUCGCUGCUGCCUUGCCCCUCCUCUGCUCUGUGUGUGCGUCGGAGAAGAGAAUGAGAAGGCCAGGCAGGAGAGAGUUGCCGCGCGGGCCCCGCGCUUCAGCGCCUCAGCCGUUGACCCCACCCCGCUACGUCAGGGCCUGUUUGUAGAGAUAUUUUUACAGAUUGGUCCCUGAACUUCGUCGGACUAUAACUUUUUGCUCGCAACUCCGUUUGAGUUUGCAGGUCAUGCCGUGAUUUCUUGAUUGCUUGUCGUGGUUUCCGUUCGUGCGAGCUAGGAUAAGCGUUCCAGCCAGAGUCCCUGCGAAAUGGAGUUCAUCACCAUCGUCGAUGUUCCACUGCUAGAGUUAUUCCACUGCAUCUUGUUGUUCUGCUGCUUGCAUAGAGCAACCGUGGCAAGCGUAGUGUUGUUGUGCCGAUGUAAUCCCCUUGUAUCAUUAUAGCUUGUAAUAAUGGAGCUGAUUUGUUCUUUGCUAAGAAGUGUCGUA